rnacentral:miRNA from 1 species
UGAGGCAGGAGAAUUGCUUGAACCCAGGAGGCGGAGGCUGCAGUGAGCUGAGAUCGUGCCACUGUACUCCAGCCUGGGUGACAGAGUGAGACUCCAUCUC